UACGUAGGGGGGCUAGCGUUGUCCGGAUUUAUUGGGCGUAAAGAGCGUGUAGGCGGCCAUGUAGGUCCGGUGUGAAAACUCGAGGCUUAACCUCGAGAUGUCAUCGGAAACCAUUUGGCUAGAGUCCGGAAGAGGAGAGUGGAAUUCCUGGUGUAGCGGUGAAAUGCGCAGAUAUCAGGAAGAACACCAAUGGCGAAAGCAGCUCUCUGGAACGGUACUGACGCUGAGACGCGAAAGCGUGGGGAGCGAACAGG
rnacentral:rRNA from 1 species